CAUGCUUCUUCUCCAUAUUCUUCAACAAAUUACACAACUUAUGAAUUUUAUGCUUCUUCUCCAUAUUCUUCAACAAAUUACACAGCUUCUGAAUUUUUCGCCUGCGAUGCUUACCUGGAGAAAUGCACAAUCACCAUGUUUAUGUGGUUGGAAGACAGACCUUGGUCCAUUAUGAGUAGCAGUCCGAAAUGAUUUGUUUGGUUGCUCAAUUUGGUAAAGAGAAGACCGUUUUACGCACUGAGGUUGAUCGCGGUUUCACGUUUUAUGCACUGAGGUUGAUCGCGGUUUCACUGCAGAAAUAUUUAGCAUGCAUCCUAUGUCAUUUUGUCAGCUUUGUGACAAAGGUAGGUAAGUAAGCUUUGGACUAUACUGCAUGCCUUGCUUUCCUGUUGCAUGCGCACAACAACCAAGUGCUCAGAUGGCUGGAUCUGAAUGAAUGGCGUCCGACAGAAUUGGAUUCUUUCAUUUUUUUUCCAUUUGGUGCUGCCAGUCGGAUCUUAGUUUAAGCUAGGAUUAAUAUUUCAUUUUAUUUUCCCCAUUUGAUACAUGUGUUGCUCCUUUCUGGUGGCUGGCUCGGCCUGGCGCUGCACAACUGUGCCGGUAUGCAUAAUCAAGGCCGAUACUAUGAGUCCAGCAUGUUGUAGCAGUACACGGACCCACAAUCCACGAGGAGAUGCAAUGCAGCAGUAUCUCCUUUCUGUUGCUCCCCACCUCCCCACCUCCACUCCCACUGAGCUUUCUAAUUGUGCAGUCCAACUCUUAGCCUGUACUCUACUAGCUUGGUCCUCCCAUCAACCAUGUUAAUUCCCAGGCGCCUCUUGGGAGGUGGGGUUGGGAGCUUCUUAUGGUUUGCAUUGGAUGGAUGAAGCAACACUAACUCCUCUUCCCGGUUGGUGGCGUCAUGUAUUCUGCUACUUUAAACCAUAUCACAUUGACGCAUCCCCUACCACCAUUCUUAUAUGUCAAAAACAGGAAUUCGCCUCCAUACAUAUUAAAUUUAUAGUCUAGAUUUUUACUCUGUAGACGACUUAAUCAUAUGUGGACUAUUAAUAAUGCUGUGUGAUGGCGAUUGUUUAA